AGUGGCGGACGGGUGAGUAACGCGUGGGUAACCUGCUCAUACAGGGGAGUAACAGUUAGAAAUAGACUGCUAAUACCGCAUAAGACCACAGCACCGCAUGGUGUAGGGGUAAAAACUCCGGUGGUAUGAGAUGGACCCGCGUCUGAUUAGGUAGUUGGUGGGGUAACGGCCUACCAAGCCGACGAUCAGUAGCCGACCUGAGAGGGUGACCGGCCACAUUGGGACUGAGACACGGCCCAA
rnacentral:rRNA from 1 species